GGCUCUGGGAAUUUCUCCUCCCACGUGGAGGCCCCCACAGCAGUGGACACCACCCAGCCAGGCCCACCUGACCGGUCAGGCUCAAACCCUCUGGUACCCGCCCCACCCAUAGGACCAGGUGUAAACCAGGCAGCGACACCCCAGACGUGUGGUCUUGGUCAGCUCCCCUGGGCUCCUCUCCCUCCAGCUGGCCCUUCUCUGCCCAGGAAACAGUUUUCUGAAGAGUUCUCCGUUCUCGAGCCUUCCAGCUGCGUGGGAGAGAGUUGACCCCAAGGCUGGGACCACAAGAGGCCAGGGAGGGUGGGCCUGGGAUCUGCAGCUCACGGGCUGUGUGACUGUGGGCACGAGAUUUCAUUUCCUGAUUCAUAAAGGUGGGGACCGAUCAAAGCUACUCCUUGGACCUUUGUGAAGAUUAAAUGAGUUCAACACGGAGCAUUCUUGACCCAUGGGCCAUCCCCAGAUGAGGCUGCAGCAUUGCCCCGUGUGCUCUCAGCUGGUGCCAGUGUUGUCUGGAACUGUCUGGACCUACCUGGAAACUGAGUAUUUCUCUGAAGAAGUCUGCAGCCCUUUGGCAGCGUGGCUGCAGAUGGAAGGAAGGAAACAGUUCGCCCUGGAGAAUGGCUAGGCAGCACCUCUGAGCCGAGCAUCCCACCCGCUCUGACUGGCCCACAAUCGUGGGGCCAGUGGUAUCUCAGAGCCCUUCUGUAAGGAGACCUACAGGGUUUUGUCACUUACAGUGAUUGCCAUGGUCUGAAUGCUUGUGUCCUCCUCGAAAGAGCCUUCCAAGAUGCGGUGCCCUCCAUCAGCAUAUUGCCACGCCUUUCUCUCCCAGGAUGCAUUGCUGGGAUGGAUGAACAGGGCCAUGCGAUAAAUCCUCUAACGUUGCCACGUCUGUGCUUUUGCCUCCUUUCCUCUCCGUUGUAUGGAGGAAGUUCUGACAGCUCACUUCAUUUCACGUGGUGUGCAAGCUUCUGUCAAACAACGGAACAAACUAUGAGAACCACUUCCAGCCACUGCUUCUGCACACUUCUCUGCUAAGUGAGUCUCUGCUGUGUGAGUCUCAUUGGUAAAACUACCCUGAUCUAACAUUCUGUUACCUCCUUUGUGGUCCAACACUCCAAGAGUCCACGGCCUCAGACGCCCCUGGGUUUCUGCUGAUGUAAAUUGGCAAAAACUUGCAUUCAGUGUGUAUGUGGCUCCUCUUGGGUCUCACUGUGUGUUUAUCCCUCUGCACCCAACUCUAGUCAUGGCUCUGGGAAUAAUGAGGGUCGGUGGAGGUGGAUCUCAAGGGAGAUCUGUCAUCUUGCAAGGCUGUUUCCUCAAGUGAAGCCAUCACAGAUCUUUGGGCACAGUUUUACUCACCUCAGACUCUAAGGAAGAGUCACUUCUGCUUACAGGGAGACUCAGGAAGGUCUAAUGUUCAGGGGACUCAGAGUCAGAGAAAUCCACCCUCUCCAGUUCUCGAGGUCUCAUUCUUUCCAAAUAAAUGCCUUAACUUUGACUUAAGAGAUUUAGUAAGACAUUUAAUUAUUCUUUAGUUGUAAUUCAUUAGCCUGCAAGAUCAAAUUUGUACUCUGCAUUUAAAAAAAAAAGUUGACUCUACAGCUACAAGAACUAAAAUGGUUUUUUUAGGACAGCUAUAGAAGGGCUCUGGUUCUCUGUCUAUACCUUCAGCUGAGCACUUAAGGCCACAGCUUGUCAUUUUCUUUGUCAGUUCCCCAGUGCAAUAAGCAGCAGCCACCCCAUGCCACAUCCUUGUAUGCAUGGUUUCCAUCCACAUCCUAAUGUCCUAUUGCAAGAGCCCCCUGGUGUCUGAAACCCAGGCUUGUGAUGGGCACUGCAUCGCAGAGACCUCAAGGUAAUGAUUUUACCAGUGACAAUGUUUAUAGAUUAUCUGCAUCCUGCUUCCCACUCCUCACGUGGUCCUCACUGACAUCAGACAAAACCUGGUCUGUCCAAUUACUAACUCCAGAUUCCCAUCUUCAAGGUUCUGCCUUCCUGGAAACACUGCUGGUACCAGGAAUGGUUGGUCGGGAACACUAAAGUCACUCUAGGUAUUUUGGGUAGAAGGAGAUUCAUUGCAGGGAACUCUAGGCUUACAGAAAUGUUGAGAACUUUGGGGACUGAAGGUUAUUUCAGGAGAUCUGGAAGUGCAGGGAUAGAAGGGUAGCAUCCAUUGCCCCCUGAUAACUGUACCACUGACAUGGCUAGAAACCACCCCAGUGAUCCCAGCUGCUUGUAGCACCUCAGGGUGAUUCUCAAACUGACUCCAGAAGCCAAGGUACACUGCUGCCAAUGACUGCAGGGGCCUCUGCAAAACGGACGUUGAUGAAUGAAACAAAGUGUGAUCUACCCAUAGCAGGGAAUGUUAUUCAUCCUUAAAAAGGAAGGAAAUCCUGCAGCUCACGC
rnacentral:lncRNA from 1 species